CCCCGUUUCCUGUCCCCCCAGUGACGGUGUCCCCCCGUUUCCUGUCCCCCCAGCGACGGUGUCCCCCCGUUUCCUGUCCCCCCAGGCCAUCACAGCCGGGUUCUUUUACCACACGGCGCGUUUGGCGCGGGGCGGGUACCGCACGGUGAAACACCAACAGCCGGUGUUCAUCCACCCCAACAGCGCCCUGUUCUCGCUGCAGCCCCGCUGGGUGCUGUACCACGAGCUGGUGUGCACCUCCAAGGAGUUCAUGAGACAGGUGAUGGAGAUCGACAGUUCCUGGCUGCUGGAGGUGGCCCCUCACUAUUACCAGGCCAAGGAGCUCGAGGACGGCAGCGGCCGCAAGAUGCCAAAAAAAACCGGGAAAACGCGGGAGGAGCUGGGCUGAGCCCGGCCCGGGGACACCUGGGCACACCUGGGCACACCUGGGUGUACCUGGAGCACACCUAGAGCUGCCCUGGACACAUGUGGACACACCUGGGUGUACCUGGAGCACACCUGUUCACAGCUGGGUGUACCUGGAGCACACCUGGACACAGCUGGGUGUACCUGGGUGUACCUGGAGCUGCCCUGGACACAUCUGGGUGUACCUGGAGCACACCUGGUCAUACCUGGACACACCUGGGUGUACCUGGAGCACAGCUGGGUGUACCUGGAGCACAGCUGGGUGUACC
rnacentral:lncRNA from 1 species